GGCGCGGCCGGGCGGGGCUGGACGCCCGCGGUUUCGCUUGAGUUGGACUCCUGCGCGCUCCCACCGGAGUUCGGGGGCGGCGGGGGAAAGGCCUGCGCCCUGCCGCGCGGGAAGACGAUUCCCGGCGACCGCCCGAUCCCUCGCCAGCGUCGUGGGGUAGGGCCUGUGGGGGCCUGCCGCUUCGUCCACAGUCCGUCGUGAGGCCGGCAGCGGACACGUGCUCAUCCCACUGGGAGGCCCCGGGCAGCCCGGAGGACGCGCCUAGGAGAGAAAGGGGGUUUGGGAGAAGCCCGAGGACCCGUCCCGCGACUGGGCGCGCCCUAUGCAAAUGAAUGGGCGGGGCCCUCGUGCUGCUGAACGAGGGGCUUUCAGUGAUGUGCCCUCCACCCCGACUUUGAGGAUGAAACUGGGUAAUUACCACCCCGUGACAGUGAAAAUGAUGCUAAUCAGUGCACAGCUGAUGAGAAGAACCAGAUACAGAGUCUCUCCACCUAGCUAUAGGUGGCUUUUAAAUUAGUGACUGAGAAGACAACAGACACACCUACGUCAGACCUGUCCAGGUGACCAGUAGCUAUCCUUAGGCUUGGAUCAACGUGAAGAAAGCUAUAACCUCA
rnacentral:lncRNA from 1 species